GACAGAGGGUGCAAACGUUGUUCGGAAUUACUGGGCGUAAAGCGAGUGUAGGCGGUUUGAUAAGUCGGAUGUGAAAGCCCCGGGCUCAACCCGGGAAGUGCACUCGAUACUGUCAAGCUAGAGUAUCGGAGAGGUUGGUGGAAUUCUCGGUGUAGAGGUGAAAUUCGUAGAUAUUCGCAAGAACACCAGUGGCGAAGGCGGCUUACUGGCCCGGUCUGACGCUGAGGUGCGAAAGCGUGGGGAGCAAACAGG
rnacentral:rRNA from 1 species